AUGAAGAAUUUUCAGUUCAGCACAAAGUGGGAGGAGCAGGGGAGGGGGGGUGGCAGAGGUAGUAAUGGGGCCCAUGGUGGCCCCAGCUGCAGCACUAGCAGCACUCGCAGUGGCUUGUUGGAUAAGUGGAAAAUUGAUAAUAAGCCUGUAAAAAUUGACAAGUGGGAUGGAUCAGCUGUGAAGAACUCUCUAGGUGAUUCUGCCACAAAGAUACUUCUGGAAAACUACAAGUAUGUGGAGAAUUUUGGUCUAAUUGAUGGUCACCUCACCAUCUGUACCAUCUCCUAUUUCUUUGCCAUCGUAGGUUUGAUUUGGGAUUAUAUGAACCCCUUCCCAGAGUCCAAGCCAGUUUGGGCUUUGUGCGGCCUAUUUUGUGAUUAUGAGGAUUCCGGCCAUCUAUACCUCAUAUAAGGAGAAGAGCAUCUUUCUGGUGGCCCAAAGGAAAGACCCUACAGGCAUGGAUCCUGAUGAUAUUUGGCAGCUGUCCUCCAGUCUCAAAAGGUUCAGUGACAAAUACAUACUGAAGCUGACCUUCAUCAGUAGGAGAACAAAGCAGCGCAAGAAAUCGAGUUCACCAGGUCCAUUACUAAGAUUUUUUACCACAGCGGGACACUGGUUAUGGAUGCAUAUGAACCUGAAAUAUACAGGCUCCAUGACUGUCUUGCCACAGAAAGGAAAAUAAAAAAGCCAAUUAUAAAAUCAGCCCACUUUCUGCUGGAUCAUGUUGAAUUAUUGGGUGGGAGAAACAAAUUAAAAUGA